AUUGAACGCUGGCGGCAGGCCUAACACAUGCAAGUCGAGCGGAUGAAGGGAGCUUGCUCCUGGAUUCAGCGGCGGACGGGUGAGUAAUGCCUAGGAAUCUGCCUGGUAGUGGGGGAUAACGUCCGGAAACGGGCGCUAAUACCGCAUACGUCCUGAGGGAGAAAGUGGGGGAUCUUCGGACCUCACGCUAUCAGAUGAGCCUAGGUCGGAUUAGCUAGUUGGUGGGGUAAAGGCCUACCAAGGCGACGAUCCGUAACUGGUCUGAGAGGAUGAUCAGUCACACUGGAAAUGAGACAAGGUUCAGACUCCUAAGGGAGGCAGCAGUUGGGAAUAUUGGAACAAGGGCGAAAGCCUGAACCAGCCAUGCCGCGUGUGUGAAGAAGGUCUUCGGAUUGUAAAGCACUUUAAGUUGGGAGGAAGGGCAGUAAGUUAAUACCUUGCUGUCUUGACGUUACCAACAGAAUAAGCACCGGCUAACUUCGUG
rnacentral:rRNA from 1 species